GAUGAACGCUGGCGGCAUGCCUAAUACAUGCAAGUCGAGCGAACAGACGAGGAGCUUGCUCCUCUGACGUUAGCGGCGGACGGGUGAGUAACACGUGGAUAACCUACCUAUAAGACUGGGAUAACUUCGGGAAACCGGAGCUAAUACCGGAUAAUAUAUUGAACCGCAUGGUUCAAUAGUGAAAGACGGUUUUGCUGUCACUUAUAGAUGGAUCCGCGCCGCAUUAGCUAGUUGGUAAGGUAACGGCUUACCAAGGCAACGAUGCAUAGCCGACCUGAGAGGGUGAUCGGCCACACUGGAACUGAGACACGGUCCAGACUCCUACGGGAGGCAGCAGUAGGGAAUCUUCCGCAAUGGGCGAAAGCCUGACGGAGCAACGCCGCGUGAGUGAUGAAGGUCUUCGGAUCGUAAAACUCUGUUAUUAGGGAAGAACAAAUGUGUAAGUAACUAUGCACGUCUUGACGGUACCUAAUCAGAAAGCCACGGCUAACUACGUG
rnacentral:rRNA from 1 species